GGGCGCGCCGAGUCCUUGCUCUAACCCUAAUUGCGCUUCUGAAUUCCAGGGGGCGUGGCCAAGCCCCAGACUCGCCGGCCCCUGGACCACUUCACUUUCCCUUUUUGCUCUGGUCCCAGAGCAGUGUCGGGAUCUGGGAGCCCUGGAUGGGGACAGGUGGAAAAAAGGCUGAUUUUUGAGGGAGAGGGCUCCAGGAGAAUGGCAUGGAGACCCCGAAGCGAGCCCCGAGCCUUUCCUGACACCACAGAAGAAACUGAAGCCAGUGAGGACACCUGGGCGGGAGUUGGAGCCUGGGGAAGGGCCCAAAGGGCCCUUUGGUUUAGCGGAAGUUGUUCGCUGCAGGCUGGUCCGGGACUUGGAGCGACCUGACGUGGGAGGAGCUGGAAAAUUCAAGCUGUACCUGGUGGGAUUUAUCCCCAGGUGCUUGCUGAAGAAGGCCGAUCGCACAAAAGUGGCAGAUCUCCUGGUCAUUUUUCUUGGUCAGCAGGAGGCCUGGGAGAUUGCUCUAAGCAUCUGGAAGAAGAUGGGCCUGAGGGAGCUGUGGGAGCAAGGCAGGAAGGAGGCUCUUGGAUUAGUUCCUGCUACAGUUCUUCCAGCCGCCUCAGGUUGUUCAAAUGUGGACUCAUGGAUGAUUGUCUUCAGGACCUUCUCCCUGUUAUCUCUUGCAGUGAGAGCCUAA
rnacentral:lncRNA from 1 species